AUUGAACGCUGGCGGCAGGCCUAACACAUGCAAGUCGAACGAGUGGCGGCCGGGCGAGUAAUGUCUGGGAAACUGCCCGAUGGAGGGGGAUAACUACUGGAAACGGUAGCUAAUACCGCAUACCAUCGGAUGUUCCCAGAUGGGAUUUGCUAGUAGGUGGGGUAACGGCUUACCUAGGAGACGAUCCCUAGCUGGUCUGAAAGGAUGACCAGCAAAACUGGAACUGAGACACGGUCCAUACUCCUACGGGAGGCAGCAGUGGGGAAUAUUGCACAAUGGGCGCAAGCCUGAUGCAGCCAGGCCGCGUGUAUGAAGAAGGACUUCGAGUUGUAAAGUACUUUCGGCGAGGAGGCGUUACUCGCAGAGGAAGCACCGGCUAACCCCGUACCAGCAGCCGCGGUAAUAC
rnacentral:rRNA from 1 species